rnacentral:rRNA from 1 species
CUUAGGCAAAUCCGGGGUACUCUAUACUGAGAUCCGAUAGCAAGCUGUACUUGUACAGUGAAGUGGCUGAUACCAUGCUUCCAGGAAAAGUCUCUAAGCUUCAGUUACACAGGAAUCGUACCCGAAACCGACACAGGUGGUCAGGUCGAGUAGACCAAGGCGCUUGAGAGAACUCUGCUGAAGGAACUAGGCAAAAUGGUACCGUAACUUCGGGAGAAGGUACGCUGUUGUUGGUGAUGGAACUUGCUUCCUGAGCUGACGACAGCCGCAGAAACCAGGCCGCUGCAACUGUUUAUUAAAAACAUAGCACUCUGCAAACACGAAAGUGGACGUAUAGGGUGUGAUGCCUGCCCGGUGCUGGAAGGUUAAUUGAUGGGGUUAGCGUAAGCGAAGCUCUUGAUCGAAGCCCCAGUAAACGGCGGCCGUAACUAUAACGGUCCUAAGGUAGCGAAAUUCCUUGUCGGGUAAGUUCCGACCUGCACGAAUGGCAUAAUGAUGGCGGCGCUGUCUCCAGCAGAGGCUCAGUGAAAUCGAAAUCGCUGUGAAGAUGCAGUGUACCCGCGGCUAGACGGAAAGACCCCGUGAACCUUUACUGCAGCUUGACACUGAACUUUGACCUUACUUGUGUAGGAUAGGUGGGAGGCUUUGAAGUUGGAACGCUAGUUCCAAUGGAGCCGUCCUUGAAAUACCACCCUGGUAAUGUUGAGGUUCUAACUCUGUCCCGUUAUCCGGGACGAGGACCGUGUCUGGUGGGUAGUUUGACUGGGGCGGUCUCCUCCUAAAGAGUAACGGAGGAGUACGAAGGUGCGCUCAGCGUGGUCGGAAAUCACGCGUAGAGUAUAAAGGCAAAAGCGCGCUUAACUGCGAGACCCACAAGUCGAGCAGGUACGAAAGUAGGUCUUAGUGAUCCGGUGGUUCUGUAUGGAAGGGCCAUCGCUCAACGGAUAAAAGGUACUCUGGGGAUAACAGGCUGAUACCGCCCAAGAGUUCAUAUCGACGGCGGUGUUUGGCACCUCGAUGUCGGCUCAUCUCAUCCUGGGGCUGAAGCAGGUCCCAAGGGUAUGGCUGUUCGCCAUUUAAAGAGGUACGCGAGCUGGGUUUAGAACGUCGUGAGACAGUUCGGUCCCUAUCUACCGUGGGCGCUGGAAAUUUGAGAGGAUCUGCUCCUAGUACGAGAGGACCAGAGUGGACGAACCUCUGGUGUACCGGUUGUGACGCCAGUCGCAUCGCCGGGUAGCUAUGUUCGGAAGGGAUAACCGCUGAAAGCAUCUAAGCGGGAAGCCUACCUCAAGAUAAGAUUUCCCUAGGAAUUUAUUCCUCUAAAGAGCCGUUCGAGACUAGGACGUUGAUAGGUUGGAUGUGGAAGCAUAGUGAUAUGUGAAGCUGACCAAUACUAAUUGCUCGUGAGGCUUGACUAUACAACACCCAAGCAGUUG